rnacentral:rRNA from 1 species
GAUGAACGCUGGCGGCGUGCUUAACACAUGCAAGUCGAACGAAGCAUAUUUAACGGAGUUUUCGGACAAAGUUUUAUAUGACUUAGUGGCGGACGGGUGAGUAACGCGUGAGUAACCUGCCUUACACAGGGGGAUAACAGUUAGAAAUGACUGCUAAUACCGCAUAAGCGCACAGUACCGCAUGGUACGGUGUGAAAAACUCCGGUGGUAUGAGAUGGACCCGCGUCUGAUUAGCUAGUUGGUGGGGUAACGGCCUACCAAGGCAACGAUCAGUAGCCGGCCUGAGAGGGUGAACGGCCACAUUGGGACUGAGACACGGCCCAAACUCCUACGGGAGGCAGCAGUGGGGAAUAUUGCACAAUGGGGGAAACCCUGAUGCAGCGACGCCGCGUGAGUGAUGAAGUAUUUCGGUAUGUAAAGCUCUAUCAGCAGGGAAGAAAAUGACGGUACCUGACUAAGAAGCACCGGCUAAAUACGUG